rnacentral:rRNA from 1 species
UACGUAGGGACCAAGCGUUGUUCGGAUUUACUGGGCGUAAAGCGCGUGUAGGCGGUCAGGCAAGUCGGAUGUGAAAUCCCGUGGCUCAACUACGGAAGUGCACCCGAAACUGCUUGACUUGAGUCUCGGAGAGGAAGGCGGAAUGCUUGGUGUAGAGGUGAAAUUCGUAGAUAUCAAGCGGAACACCGGUGGCGAAGGCGGCCUUCUGGACGAGGACUGACGCUGAGACGCGAAAGCGUGGGGAGCAAACAGG